rnacentral:rRNA from 1 species
AAUAGAUACCCAGGUAGUCCACGCCGUAAACGGUGGGCACUAGGUGUGGGCGACAUUCCACGUCGUCCGUGCCGCAGCUAACGCAUUAAGUGCCCCGCCUGGGGAGUACGGCCGCAAGGCUAAAACUCAAAGGAAUUGACGGGGGCCCGCACAAGCGGCGGAGCAUGUGGCUUAAUUCGACGCAACGCGAAGAACCUUACCAAGGCUUGACAUACACCGGAAACGUCCAGAGAUGGGCGCCCCCUUGUGGUCGGUGUACAGGUGGUGCAUGGCUGUCGUCAGCUCGUGUCAUGAGAUGUUGGGUUAAGUCCCGCAACGAGCGCAACCCUUGUCCCGUGUUGCCAGCAGGCCCUUGUGGUGCUGGGGACUCACGGGAGACCGCCGGGGUCAACUCGGAGGAAGGUGGGGACGACGUCAAGUCAUCAUGCCCCUUAUGUCUUGGGCUGCACACGUGCUACAAUGGCCGGUACAAUGAGCUGCGAUACCGCGAGGUGGAGCGAAUCUCAAAAAAGCCGGUCUCAGUUCGGAUUGGGGU